UUAUGGUUGUAUCAGGGAAUGGGAUGCCCCUCUCUCUGCAGUAUUGUUUGGUGAGGUCCAGGACCUGAUGUUCAGAAGAACAAAAGAAAAUUGAAUAAGGUGCCUUCUUUGCAUAGCAUAA